rnacentral:tRNA from 1 species
GGGCCUAUAGCUCAGCUGGGAGAGCGCUUGCAUGGCAUGCAAGAGGUCGUCGGUUCGAGCCCGACUAGGUCCACCA